CGUGUUAGGUGACAGCUUCAUUUGUUUUUGGUUCAGGUGUGGAUGUUAAUAACUGUGUUUGCUGUCAUUUUACUGUUCAUAUUUUUUAUCUUUUUUUCUUAAAUAAACCCCUUUAACAUUUCAUAUAAUAAGGGCUUGGUGAUGAUGAACUCCUUUAACUUGACCUUAUCUGAGAA